CUUGACCCUGAUUUUCUGGAGCAGUACGACAGCCGGCCAGACCUGUACUCGACGGGGUCGAGUUUUUCUCACCCGGGAGGAGUUGAUGGGGACAUCAGAGCCCUUCAUCCAGAUGAUCAUGAGCCCCCGGAUUGAGCCAGACUCGUUUAUUUGCAUAUUUAUUUUAUUAUUUUAUUUUUGGGCUUAUUUGCAUUCUAGGGUUUAUUUGUGGUUUAUUUUAUUUCUGGGCUUAUUUGUAUUUUGGGGCUUAUUUGUGUUAUUUGUGGGUUCAUUAGGAUUUAUUUCUGUGUAAGGAGGGUUUAUGCAAGUUGCGUAUUUGGGCCCUAUAUAUAGGGAACUAUUUUCAUGAUUAGGGUUUAAUGAAUGAUUAAGAAUUUCUUUUCCUCCCAGAUCUUAUUCUUCCUCCUCCUCCUCCCCUUCUCUUCUUCCUGUGUCUCUAGAACCUCUUCUUCCUUCUUCCUCUCUUGUUCUUCCUUCUUCUCCUCUUUUUCCGCAUUUGUGCGGCAUCAU
rnacentral:lncRNA from 1 species